UCUGUGUGGACAGUCUGAGAGCACAGAAAUUUUCAGUGAAAGGCUUGAUGAGGACAUACUCAGAUGAGGAAAUAGCUUCCAACACUCCAGAAGAUUCCCUGGACCACUCUCAGCACUGUCUGCCCCACAGAUUGCACAGCCCCUGCUGAGAACAGCUCCAAGUACAAACAGGAAGGAAACAGCCCUGCCCUCCAGUCCAGUGAGGAAGAUAAACAAGCCUGUAGCAAUUACAACUCAGUUGAGUAACAUGAGUGAAGGCACCUAUUCCUCUGACAAUCAAGCUUUACUUUUCAGUAAAAGAAACAUGCAAAAUGGGUCCAAAAUUAGUUACAUAUACACGACCACGGUCACUUGGUGAGUCAUUACAGAAGAUGAGACCACACAGAACUUGUAAAUUUGAUGCACGGUUACAAAUAUCCAGAGAAGACUUUAUUUUCACCCAGAGACGGGGUGCAAUAGAAAAACUGCCUCGAUGCCUUUCCUCCUCAGCUUGGAAGUUUUGAAUGUACUCCUGCACUAAAAUACCUUGAAGCCUCCUUCUUCAUAGAAGCUUUCACUUCACUUCCCUGAACCAAUAAGCCCCCGUUCUCCUGACUGCACAUGAUUAUUAAAAUUUAAACUCUUCAGAUUCGAAACCUGACUUGAUAUUGUUAAUUUUUCAGUAUGAUACUGUAUUUGGUUAUAUUUGUUUAGAAAGCCCAUUUUAUAUAAACCUGGUAAAAACUUUACAGAUGAACAUAAUAUAUGUUUGUUUUUUUUGUUUCAAAAUAACCCAAAAAAGAGUGUUGGGAAUUGAGAAGAGGUAAAGGUGAACCGUAUUUUGUCAUAGAGAAGUUCGGUGAUGGGUGUGCAGGUGUUUCGAGUACUACUUCCUGUAUUUUCGCCCAUGCCUAAAGUUGCCCACAAUCACAGUACUUUUUAACCCAACCGUGGUUAGUACUUGCAAGAGCCCUUCUGCCCCUCACCCUCGUCCUCCGUGAGGCAGGACCAGCUUCUGGUUACAGCUCUGUUUUUCAAUUUUACACUGGUACUAAACCUUAUUUUUGAAUU